GGAUGUGAGGGCGAUCUGGCUGUGACAUCUGUCACCCCGUUGAUCACCAGGACUGAUCCGGCUGACCUGGCUGACUGGGCAGAUGUCCCCUUCCUCCCUCACAGCUGCAUGUGCAUCCCUCCCGAAGCUUCGCACUCGGUAGAAGAGGAUGACCUUCCCUGGCAGAGGAGGACCAUUCUUUGGUCAAGGGUAUCCAAGUGGCUGCACUCCCCUGCUAGGACCCCCAAACAAGCUCUCAAGGUCCAUUUGUAGGAGAAAACGGAGGGUAGUCAAGCUUCCAAAACCCAAGACACAUCCAAAAUGAGGUGCUGCAUGUGGCUGCUUUCUUAUAAGU
rnacentral:snRNA from 1 species